rnacentral:tRNA from 1 species
ACCUGGCUGGCUCUGUCGGUAGAGCAUGUGCCUUUCGAUCUCGGGUUGUGAGUUCGAGCCCCACGUUGGGUG